rnacentral:rRNA from 1 species
CCUACGGGAGGCAGCAGUGGGGAAUAUUGGACAAUGGGGGCAACCCUGAUCCAGCCAUGCCGCGUGUGUGAAGAAGGCCCUCGGGUUGUAAAGCACUUUCAGUGAGGAAGAACGCCUGGUGGUUAAUACCCAUCAGGAAAGACAUCACUCACAGAAGAAGCACCGGCUAACUCCGUGCCAGCAGCCGCGGUAAUACGGAGGGUGCGAGCGUUAAUCGGAAUUACUUGGCGUAAAGCGCGCGUAGGUGGCUUGAUAAGCCGGUUGUGAAAGCCCCGGGCUCAACCUGGGAACGGCAUCCGGAACUGUCAAGCUAGAGUGCAGGAGAGGAAGGUAGAAUUCCCGGUGUAGCGGUGAAAUGCGUAGAGAUCGGGAGGAAUACCAGUGGCGAAGGCGGCCUUCUGGACUGACACUGACACUGAGGUGCGAAAGCGUGGGUAGCAAACAGGAUUAGAUACCCCGGUAGUC